GAUGAACGCUGGCGGCGUGCCUAAUACAUGCAAGUCGAGCGAACAGACGAGGAGCUUGCUCCUCUGACGUUAGCGGCGGACGGGUGAGUAACACGUGGAUAACCUACUUAUAAGACUGGGAUAACUUCGGGAAACCGGAGCUAAUACCGGAUAAUAUAUUGAACCGCAUGGUUCAAUAGUGAAAGACGGUUUUGCUGUCACUUAUAGAUGGAUCCGCGCCGCAUUAGCUAGUUGGUAAGGUAACGCCUUACCAAGGCAACGAUGCGUAGCCGACCUGAGAGGGGGAUCGGCCACACUGGAACUGAGACACGGUCCAGACUCCUACGGGAGGCAGCAGUAGGGAAUCUUCCGCAAUGGGCGAAAGCUUGACGGAGCAACGCCGCGUGAGUGAUGAAGGUCUUCGGAUCGUAAAGCUCUGUUAUUAGGGAAGAACAAAUGUGUAAGUAACUAUGCACGUCUUGACGGUACCUAAUCAGAAAGCCACGGCUAACUACGUG
rnacentral:rRNA from 1 species